rnacentral:rRNA from 1 species
CGCUUCGACCACACCGCCUGAGUACGCCUGAUCUCGUCUGAUCUCGGAAGCUAAGCAGGGUCGGGCCUGGUUAGUACUUGGAUGGAGACCGCCUGGGAAUACCAGGUGCUGUAAGAU